GGGUGGGGGGCGGCAGCAGAGACCAGGAGUGACUCAGUGUCAUGGAAUUCUCUUAGUCCAUGACUGCGAGUUGUGAGGCAUAAGGGGCCUCACACAUCACCAUGCUGGCCUCUCACUCUAGCAAGGACCCCCUUGAUGUCAUCUCUGUGAGAUUCAUGUCUUAACGCUGCUUUCUCAGUUGUCCUAUUAGGAAACUCACUGCCUGAUCAGAGUUAGAAAAAAUGUCUCUGAAAAUAAUCAUCUCAUCAAAUCUAUUAAUCCCUGACUCCCCAGCUCCAUAAGUACUAGCUAGCUGAUCCGGUCCUGCUUUCUUGAAUUGCAGGAAUAUAUUCUUUUACCCUUUUCUAUAAGACCCUCCAAGUAGCUGAAAGCAGAUAUUAUAAAUUUCCCUACGGUCUCUCCUCUCAGCUAAAUAUUAUCAGUGCCAUCAGCUCUUCCUCUAGGCCUCCCAAUCAGUUCUCCCGCCAGCACCUUCUCCCUGAGCCGGUCAACAUAACUCGGGAGCAGAGAGGGCUCGCGGUGCAAACAGAGCAGAACCGGCGGCGGUGACAUCACUUCCGCUCAUGAGUCAGCGCUCAGACUAGCCUUUAAAGAGAUGCAAGAGGCUGACUGACCACCACUUUGUUUUGGCAUGUCACGUCAGAUCGCUGCCCCCUUCCCCCUUCUGGUUCCUGUGUCAGGAUUUGGGGCCAGCGCCCAGCCAAUCCAGAGUCCUCAGACUUCCAGAGAGAACAAUACCUAACCUGUGCGGUUGCUAUGAGGAUCCAUGGACAACACCCAGAGAAAGUAGACAGCCCUGUCCCUGGGCAUCACCGUAACCACUUGUUCCAUCCUGCUCUGAGCCAUGACUUGAUAGACCAUCACUCGCCCACUUGACCUUUAACUUUCUGAAAGUUUGGGACUAUUCAACCUUCCAAUAGAUGCCACCCCACCACCCCACCCCAACCCCCAGCAUCCACUAACUCUUAACAAGCCAGAGAAUUCUUCUGGAAGCAGAAUCUUGGAAUACACAUUUUCCAUGAACUUUUUGAUGAGCCCUUGUAUAGACUGUAACAUGCCGCAGUUUCUGCUGGGUGUUGAGAAACGUUAGCUCCGGUGGGCCUCUUCCCUCUGCUGGUUUCUAAGCAGCAUCUAUCUGACUCAUCUUCAUGUUCCCAAUACUAAACAAAACUUUAUUGCACAAAUUAAUAAGCAGAUAGUCCCACCCCACCCUCUCUGUUCUAGCUCUGAGUCAUUACAGCCCGGGCACCGAUUUAAUAUAUUCCUAAACCACUUCACUCACCACGAUCUCACUCUCCCCUGAGCCUCUGCUUGCCAACAGAGGUCAGAGGCAAAACCGGUGGCCUGGGCCAGCCAGUCCCCUCCAGACACAGAGCCGUGAUGGAGAAGUCAGGAGAUCUCACGGGCAAGGUCACCUUUCUCAGGUCUCUUGAAAGCCAAGAUGCUGCUGAUCCUAGGUCACAUGCCCAACACGGGACAACAAGGUGGUGACAGGAGCACGCCCUGGACCAGGACCUGAGUGUCAUGAGUGUCAUGUCUGAGGGUCACGCAGCUUCCACCGCUCGUGUGUUCUGGGGCCAGACACAAACCACAAGCCUGUAUCACUUGGUCCUCUGAGGACUGCUGUGGCUACUCCUGGUUUAGAGGCUGUGCCUCGCCGCUAGAUUCCUUUUCAACUGGAUUUCAUUCUGCUUAGAGCACUCUAAAUUCACUGUCCACUGAGCAACUGCUGUCAAAGAACCCCAGUCCCACCAUCUUGCUAAUCUAGGGGUACCACUAGGCUUAUUUUUGCCACAUUUACUUGCUGUCUUGUUCCUAUGCAUUAUUUUCUUUAUAAUCCCUCAGCUUUUUAUUAUCUCUUAUCAUUAAAGAGUUAUUAUGAAUUUCAUGUUUAAAUUUACUUAAGCAUCCAAAUUAAAGUUUAGCUUGAUUCUUACUAUACAAAAUAAUUGUGUGGGACCGGUGCUGUGGCGUAGCAGGUAAAGCUGCCACCUGCAGCGCCAGCAUCCCAUAUAAGUGCUGGUUCUAGUCCCAGCUGCUCUACUUCCCAUCCAGCUCUCUGCUAUGGCCAGGGAAAGCAGUAGAAGAUGACCCGGAAGAAGCCCCUGGCUCCUGGCUUGGGAUCAGCGCAGUUCCAGCCAUUGUGGCCAAUUGGGGAGUGAACCAGCGGAUGAAAGACCUUCCUCUCUCUCUCUCUCUCCGUGUAAUUCUGACUUUCAAAUAAAUAAAUAAAUCUUUUAAAAAAUAAAA